rnacentral:lncRNA from 1 species
UCCUGUUGGAGUGUGACGUGACGUGGCAGCUUGGGAAAUCUUGAAUGCGGCACUGGAUGCAUCAUGAUUAUAUCCAAUUUUUAAAUAAACUACAUAAAGAUCCCUAUGUCUGGUUUUGGGAAAAAAAAUUGAGAUGAAACCAUUGCAUUUUACCUUGAACUGCAGAACCUUGAUCAUGUAGCUGACUUUGUUUUAGAGUUGCUAAAUAAUAAUUUAAUAGUUUGGAUUAGCACAGUAUUUUAAUGUCUAUUCAUUAAACUUACUGGCAAAAUUUAGAGAGGCAAAAGACACUGGCUGUUUAAGAGUUUGUCCUGUAGGUCUACAAAUGCAGACAGACCUCUGUAACCCAGUAGCACCCAGGCUGCUGUCCAGUAUCAAUUAAGGUCAAGGUGCUAUGUUUCUCUUGUUUUAUCACUGUUGUGUCCUAUUGGCUGACAGCUACUUCUGGAAAUCGUUCAAAAAGGAAAAUAAACCUGCAGUCUGAGAAGUGUGGUGCAGUAAAUGUGGGUUUUUCUUGGCCAGUGUUUUUAACAAAUGCACUUUUCACAGGGAUUGUUGUUAUUGACAAUGAAAUAUUACAUUUGUGUCAUUUCAGACUGGUAAAUUUGACAGUUUACUAACAUGUCUGCUUGCAGAAAAAGUUGGAAGUUCCAUGUGAUUUACAAUCAGAAAUUGCUAGUUAAAUUUUACAAUUAGAAAUGAUCAGCAAGUAGCACAUUGAAUUGAGAAAGUAGCACAUUGAAUUAAUAAAUGUGGACACACAACACUUCAUGGAUCUUAUUGUAGUUGAUGGUGAUUUAAUGAUGACCCUGGCAUCAGAUAAACCAUGUUCUGAGAUAUCUUUCAAAAGUCUUUGUGUGCUGUAAGCUGACAACAGAAUCAGGGAAAGGGAGACCGGGAGGGAGAAUUUGGUGGUGUGCAACCAAUGGCUUGCCUGAUGAUUUUUAAUGCACAUGAAUGAUUGAUCACUGUAUAUGGACACAUGCUCUCCUGAGGGGCGGCUGCAGUCUGUCUGGUGCUGUCAGUGCAGAUAUGAGUGUGACCAGGGGACCUUCUGGACUGAGCAUGAACACUGUGGCGUUAAAGCAUCAGUGGGCAUUGCAGAGAAAUCGUGCACUGGUCCGGACGUACCUGCUCUCCAGUUCUGUGCUUCCACUUCCUGGCUCGCGGAGCAGAGAUGAUUUCAGACUGCCAUCAUUGUCCAGAUCAACACAUGGUCGGACCACCACAGUGCCUCUCAAUGUCAGUGAGCCCUGCUUGUUCACCCCAGGACAGAGAGCGGUUUUCGAGGGGUUUUCAAAAAAACGCUGUCCCCUUCUAAACAAACGUGGCCCAUCUUCUCCCUCCUGCGAGACCCUUGAGAACACAAAGACGCCUCAGCAGAGCUAUCAUCAAGUGUACAUGCAUUUCUCUCAGCCUCUGAAGCCUGUACCAAAGGUUGGACAGGCCUUUACUUACAGUCAGCGGCGGGCCACAGAGAGCAGAGGAAUGCAGGCAUUAGUCAGGCAGCCCAAAAACGUAGAGACUUUAUCUGUCAGAGGAAAGACUUGCUUUCCCACCCAGCAUUUACCUACCUCUUCAUCUAGCGCGCCUCGCACACAGCUGCAUGUGUUCUUGCCUGCAGAGAGCACCAGACAGGAGGAAGACAAGGGACAGUGA